AGAGUUUGAUCAUGGCUCAGAUUGAACGCUGGCGGUAGGCUUAACACAUGCAAGUCGUGCGAGAAAGUAUCUUCGGAUAUGAGUAGAGCGGCGGACGGGUGAGUAACGCGUAGGAAUCUACCUAGUAGAAGGGGAUAGCCCGGGGAAACCCGGAUUAAUACCGUAUACCUCCUUCGGGAGAAAGAAGGCCUCUCUUUGAAGCUUUCGCUAUUAGAUGAGCCUGCGUAAGAUUAGCUUGUUGGUGAGGUAAAGGCUCACCAAGGCUACGAUCUUUAGCUGGUCUGAGAGGACGAUCAGCCACAUUGGGACUGAGACACGGCCCAGACUCCUACGGGAGGCAGCAGUGGGGAAUAUUGGACAAUGGGCGCAAGCCUGAUCCAGCCAUACCGCGUGUGUGAAGAAGGCCUUCGGGUUGUAAAGCACUUUAAGCAGGGAGAAAAAGUUAUAAGUUAAUACCUUAUAACCGUGAUGUUACCUGCAGAAUAAGCACCGGCUAAUUCCGUGCCAGCAGCCGCGGUAAUACGGAAGGUGCAAGCGUUAAUCGGAAUUACUGGGCGUAAAGCGCGCGUAGGUGGUUUGUUAAGUUGGAUGUGAAAGCCCUGGGCUCAACCUAGGAACUGCAUCCAAAACUAACUCACUAGAGUACGAUAGAGGGAGGUAGAAUUCAUAGUGUAGCGGUGGAAUGCGUAGAUAUUAUGAAGAAUACCAGUGGCGA
rnacentral:rRNA from 1 species